rnacentral:rRNA from 1 species
CAGCCGCCACGGUAAUACGUAGGUGGCAAGCGUUGUCCGGAAUUAUUGGGCGUAAAGGGCUCGCAGGCGGUUUCUUAAGUCCGAUGUGAAAGCCCCCGGCUCAACCAGGGAGGGUCAUUGGAAACUGGGAAACUUGAGUGCAGAAGAGGAGAGUGGAAUUCCACGUGUAGCGGUGAAAUGCGUAGAGAUGUGGAGGAACACCAGUGGCGAAGGCGACUCUCUGGUCUGUAACUGACGCUGAGGAGCGAAAGCGUGGGGAGCGAACAGGAUUAGAUACCCCAGUAGUCCCUGUCUCUUAUAC